rnacentral:pre_miRNA from 1 species
GACUUACUCCCUCCGUCCGGAAAUACUUGUCAUAGAAAUGGAUACAAAUGGAUGUAUCAAAAACUAAAAUACAUCUAGAUACAUCCAUUCCUCGGACAAGUAUUUCCGGACGGAGGGAGUAUAUG